rnacentral:rRNA from 1 species
GACAGAGGGUGCAAACGUUGUUCGGAAUUACUGGGCGUAAAGCGCGUGUAGGCGGCUAAGUAAGUCGGGCGUGAAAUCCCACGGCUCAACCGUGGAAGUGCACUCGAAACUGCAUAGCUAGAGUCCUGGAGAGGAAGGUGGAAUGCUUGGUGUAGAGGUGAAAUUCGUAGAUAUCAAGCGGAACACCGGUGGCGAAGGCGGCCUUCUGGACAGUGACUGACGCUGAGACGGCGAAA